rnacentral:misc_RNA from 1 species
GAUGAAGAACGUAGCGAAAUGCGAUAAGUAAUGUGAAUUGCAGAAUUCAGUGAAUCAUCGAAUCUUUGAACGCACAUUGCGCCCGCCAGCACUCUGGCGGGCAUGCCUGUUCGAGCGUCAUUUCAACCAUCAAGCCCCCAGGGGCCUGUGCUGGGGCCCUGCGGCUGCCCGCAGGCCCUGAAAACCAGUGGCGGGCUCGCUAGUCACACCGAGCGCAGUAGCACAUCUCGCUCAGGGCGUGCGGCGGGCUCCUGCCGUGAAACCCCCCACUGUAACCCCAAAGGUUGACCUCGGAUCAGGUAGGAAUACCCGCUGAACUUAAGCAUAUCAAUAAGCGGAGGA